rnacentral:lncRNA from 1 species
GAUAUUCUAUAUUUUAGUGAGGUAAUUUAUCUAUAUUGUGAGCGAAAAAUUUAUUAGGUAAGCCACCGCAUAUUAUGGCUAUUUCAGAUAAUUGAGUAUUUAUGCCCCACAUUGAUCUUUAUCAAAAGGAAAGAUACAUGGUGUGAUGUAUGGAACACUGAUUUCCUUAAUCGGAGUUGAUAAAUGAAAAAGUUUUUAAAAAUCUUGGUCCCC